ensembl:snRNA U7 U7 small nuclear RNA
CAGUGAUUUCAGCUCUUUUAGAAUUUGUCCAGCAGGUUUCCCGCUCUCGCGGGAAGCCGCU